rnacentral:lncRNA from 1 species
GUCUGUCUGUUGUAGAACAGGAGCUGCAGAGGGUAUGUCUGACUGUUGUAGAACAGGAGCCAGAAGGAAGGUCUGUCUGUCUGUUGUGGAACAGGAGCUGCAGAGGGUAUGUCGUCUGUCUGUUGUAAACAGGAGCUGCAGAGGGUAUGUUGUCUGCUGUUGUAGAACAGAGCUGCAGAGGGUAAUGUCUGUUGUCUGUUGUAGAACAGAAGCUGCAGAGGGUAUGUCUGUCUGUGUGAACAGGAGCUGGCAGAGGGUAUGCUGUCUGUCUGUUGUAGAACAGAGCUGCAGAGGGUAUGUCCGUCUGUUGUAGAACAGGAGCUGCAGAGGGUAUGUAUGUCUGUCUGUUGUGGAACAGGAGCUGCAGAGGGUAGGGUAUGUCUGUCUGUUGUAGAACAGAAGCUGCAGAGGGUAUGUCUGUCUGUUGUGGAACAGGAGCUGCAGAGGGUAUGUCUGUCUGUUGUGGAACAGGAGCUGCAGAGGGUCUAUGUCUGCUCGUUGUGUAACAGGAGCUGCAGAGGGUAUGUCUGUCUGUUGUGGACAGGAGCUGCAGAGGGUAUGUCUGUCUGUUGUAGAACAGGAGAGAUGCCGAGGGUUGUCGUCUGUUGUGUAACAGGAGCUGCAGAGUGAUGUCUGUCUGUCUGUUGUAGAAACAGGAGCUGCAGGGGUAUGUCUGUCUGUUGUUGUAGAACAGGAGCUGCAGAGGGUAUGUCUGUCUGUCUGUUGUAGAACAGAGCUGCAGAGGGAUGUCUCUGUCUUGGUGGAACAGGGCAGCUCAGGGGUAUGUUCUGUCUGUUGUAGAACAGGAGCUGCAGAGGGUCUUGUCGUCUGUCUGUGUAGAACAGGAGCUGCCAGAGGGUCUGUCUGUCUGUUUGUUGUGGAACAGGUGCUGCAGAGGGUAGUCUGUCUGUUGUGGAACAGGACUGCAGCGGGUAUGUCUGUCUGUCUGUUGUGACAGCGAGCUGCAGAGGGUAUGUCUGUCUGUUGUAGAACAGGAGCUGCAGAGGGUAGUCUGUCGUUGUCUGUCUGUUGUGAGCUCUAUAUGACAAGGUGUCAGAGGUCAUG